UACGGAGGGUGCAAACGUUGCUCGGAAUCAUUGGGCGUAAAGCGCACGUAGGUGGCUUGUUAAGUCGGGUGUGAAAUCCCUGGGCUCAACCCAGGAAGUGCACUCGAAACUGGCGAGCUUGAGUACUGAAGAGGGUCGCGGAAUUCCCGGUGUAGAGGUGAAAUUCGUAGAUAUCGGGAGGAACACCAGUGGCGAAGGCGGCGACCUGGUCCAUUACUGACGCUGAGGCGCGACAGCGUGGGGAGCAAACAGG
rnacentral:rRNA from 1 species